GCUGUUGCUAUCUCUUCGGAGUAUGUGCACGCUUAUCCCGACUUUAUAACCACCGUGUGCACUCUGUGUAGAUCUGAAUACCCCUCGAGGUUGACUCGGUCUGAGGAACUGCCGUGCACAAUAUGCCGGCUUUUCUUCAUUUUUCAGAUCUAUGUUUUUCUAUAUUAUACUCCGCAUAAAGUAUCAGAAUGUGAUAUAGUCUAAAGCAGACUUGUAAACAUAAAUACAACUUUCAACAACGGAUCUCUUGGCUCUCGCAUCGAUGAAGAACGCAGCGAAAUGCGAUAAGUAAUGUGAAUUGCAGAAUUCAGUGAAUCAUCGAAUCUUUGAACGCACCUUGCGCUCCUUGGUAUUCCGAGGAGCAUGCCUGUUUGAGUGUCGUGAAAUUCUCAACCUUUCAAGCUUUUUGUUGAAGCUCUGUCAGGCUUGGAUUUUGGGAGUGUGCUGGUUCUUAGACAGUCAGCUCUCCUUAAAUGUAUUAGCAAGAUUAAUCGCUGAAUCACCUUUGAUAUGAUAAUUAUCUAUAUCAUUGAUGAACCGGUGUUUUCCUUCCCAAGGAAAAAUCUGGCUUCUAAUUGU
rnacentral:misc_RNA from 1 species